UCCCUGGUGGUCCAAUACUUAGGACUCUGUGUUUUCACUGCAGGGGCAUGGGUUCGAUCCCUGGUCAGGGAA
rfam:TPA: Bos taurus chromosome 9, whole genome shotgun sequence.